CGUGUAGGCGGCUUGGCAAGUCGGAUGUGAAAUCCCGGGGCCCAACCCCGGAACUGCAUUCGAAACUGCCUGGCUAGAGUCCCGGAGAGGAAGGCGGAAUUCCCGGUGUAGAGGUGAAAUUCGUAGAUAUCGGGAGGAACACCAGUGGCGAAGGCGGUCUUCUGGACGGUGACUGACGCUGAGACGCGAAAGCGUGGGGAGCAAACAGGAUUAGAUACCCUGGUAGUCC
rnacentral:rRNA from 1 species